ensembl:snRNA U6 U6 spliceosomal RNA
GUGCUCGCUUCAGCAGCACAUAUACUAAAAUUGAAAUGAUACAGAGAUUAGCAUGGUCCCUGCACAAGGAUGACACUUAAAUUCUUGCAGUGUUGCAUAUUUUU